rnacentral:lncRNA from 1 species
CUGCUGUACUACUUAAUUGCUACACCAUUUCAAGUUAUGUAGUCUAAAAUAACCCUUUCAAAUGAACUUUUUUAAUUGAUAUUCAGAGCAUCAACAUGGUGGACUAGAUUAUGAAAUCAACUAUGAUCAUGAGAACUUGAAGCUAUUUGUUGACUAAAUUGUCAAUUGUUUUGCGUGAAUUGAAACUGGCAGUGUGAUGACAUUACUGUAGAUGCUUUGCUAUAUACAUUUGCCUAAUCCUCUCUCUCUCUCUAAUAUGUUCUCUUUUGUGAAGAUCCUUUGCAGAUCAAUUGGUGAGGCAGAAUGCUAAGCAUCGUUUCACAUUCAGGUAAGGCUCUUUGUUUGCAACCACUGCUGCGCCCACUACACAUGGGGUUUGAUCUAAAUGUAUCAGUAUGUGCCAAAUGGGGCCUCUCUUUUCCAAAUAGCUUUCCAAUAUUGUACCCAAAUGGGGCCUCUCUUUUCCAAAUAGCUUUCCAAGAUUGUACCCAAAUGGGACCUCUCUUGGUACAUAAUUGAAUAUGGGAUUGAACCCAUGGUCACAUCAUAUUGUGAGACAUGUCUGAAACGUCUAAGCUGGGAAAUCAGGUCGAUUUAUCUGACUACUGAAAAUGAGCUUCAGAAUAACUAGAGAACUUAUCCACUUCCAGCCAAAUAUCAAUUAUGAUAAAUCCACCAUGUACCAUGAGCAAUAUGUUUUACAGUAUAUGAUUUCAUUUUCCUACUUUCCCAGUUAUAAAUUUAUUGGCAUCAAAGUAGAGCUUCAGGUUUAUGGUUCACUAUAUAAUUGCAAAGUAGUUUAUGGCUCAAUAUAUCACUGCAGGUUCCUUACACCGUCAAAUUUCAAUGUUUUUGUAUUUUUGUUGAUUGAAGCAUGUUCUUCGACUAUAAAAUAGCAGAGGUUUAUUUUCUUAUCAAUUCUAAUCCCUUUUUGAUGCAUUGCAGGUUUGCUAUCAAACUCUCAAAAAGGAAAAACAACUUUACUCUGUUUUUUGGAGAACCUUCCUGUAGAGUACCUCGACAGAGACAAAUAUGCGAUCA